rnacentral:rRNA from 1 species
GACGCAAGUCCGAGUUGUAAUUUGAAGAAGGUAAUUUUUGGGGAGAUGUGAACAAAAGUUCCUUGGAACAGGACGUCAUAGAGGGUGAGAAUCCCGUUUUGUUUACCUCUCUCUCCUUGUAAAAUGCUUUCGAAGAGUCGAGUUGUUUGGGAAUGCAGCUCUAAGUGGGUGGUAAAUUCCAUCUAAAGCUAAAUAUUGGCGAGAGACCGAUAGCGAACAAGUACAGUGAUGGAAAGAUGAAAAGAACUUUGAAAAGAGAGUGAAAAAGUACGUGAAAUUGUUGAAAGGGAAGGGUUUUAAGGGAGACUUGGGAGGUAACGAACAAUUUUCUUUCGGGAAGGUGCACUCGUUGCUUUCUAGGCCAAUAUGGAUUUGAAGAGUGGGAUAAAAGGAUAGGAAUGUAGCCACUCGUGGUGUU